CCUACGGGAGGCAGCAGUGGGGAAUAUUGGACAAUGGGCGAAAGCCUGAUCCAGCAAUGCCGCGUGAGUGAUGAGGGCCUUCGGGUCGUAAAGCUCUUUUACCAGGGAUGAUAAUGACAGUACCUGGAGAAUAAGCUCCGGCUAACUCCGUGCCAGCAGCCGCGGUAAUACGGAGGGAGCUAGCGUUGUUCGGAAUUACUGGGCGUAAAGAGUACGUAGGCGGUUAUUCAAGUCAGAGGUGAAAGCCCGGGGCUCAACCCCGGAACUGCCUUUGAAACUAGAUAACUAGAGUCUUGGAGAGGUUAGUGGAAUUCCGAGUGUAGAGGUGAAAUUCGUAGAUAUUCGGAAGAACACCAGUGGCGAAGGCGACUAACUGGACAAGUACUGACGCUGAGGUACGAAAGCGUGGGGAGCAAACAGGAUUAGAUACCCUGGUAGUCCACGCCGUAAACGAUGAUAACUAGUUGUUCGGUCACUUGGUGACUGAGUGACGCAGCUAACGCAUUAAGUUAUCCGCCUGGGGAGUACGGUCGCAAGAUUAAAACUCAAAUGAAUUGACGG
rnacentral:rRNA from 1 species